UUAAGUGGUUACACGCACUAUUUGAAGUAAAGUAACUAAAAGUCAUUUGCACUCCUCGCCACUAGGCGGUGACAUUGACUAGUGAAUGGCAGUGUGAACUCUAAGCGGAACUAACGGGAGUUUUGCUAAACUUUAUGUCGGCAGCCAUUUCGGUAGUAGAAACUACAGUGCAACAAAUGUCUUUCUUCUGUUAAUUACAGAUGAAGUUUUUCUAAUUGAAAUAUGUGGCACCAGAUGACCUCUUCUGUCAUCAAUCUGCACCUGCUACAUAUUUUUGGAGUGCCAGCCAGAAGGGACUGAAGGAACAGAAGAGUGUCCCAAUCCUUACUUUGAACCCAGUCCAGAAAGUCCAGAUCAGCGUGAUUAAGUCCAAAGAGGAAACAUGGAGCAGCUCCAGGAUGAAGUCAGCUCAGUACUGUGGACAUUGGGAAAGCCUGAACUCAUAAAGGGCAUGUCAUCAACUAAAGUGUAGUGAACCAUGAGGGGAAGGAUUCCAUGGCUUAUCCCCGCCAUGCCCUGAGUCGUCUGGCAUCAGAUGAAGUUUUUCUAAUUGAAAUAUGUGGCACCAGAUGACCUCUUCUGUCACCAAUCUGCACCUGCUACAACAGCAACUCGUACUGGAACAUUCAUUAGCAGAUACCUUCUAAGUAAGUCUCAAACAAGGGAGAAUCGAUGCAACCCUCCUCCGCCCCUUUCACCUCCUGUUCCCAUCAUUCCCGGCUCACAGGGUUCCUCCUCCAUCAGAAGCCCAUCUUCACAUCCCAUCCAUCCAGAUCUUUGGGCUUCCUUUAUCCCUUCAUCACCUCCACCAGUGUCUAGACUCCAUCAGGGGAGGAUAUUCCUAAUUGUCAACGGCUUCUAUACCCCUUAUAAAUUAACAUUGCGAUGGAGUCUAAUCGCCAAAGACUACUAACAUUUCAAACUAUUAUGCACCAUGUUCAUUAAACUUAUUUCACUGAAAUAAAGUCUC